rnacentral:rRNA from 1 species
UACGUAGGGUGCAAGCGUUAAUCGGAAUACUGGGCGUAAGCGUGCGCAGGCGGUUUUGUAAGUCUGUCGUGAAAUCCCCGGGCUCAACCUGGGAAUUGCGAUGGAGACUGCAAGGCUAGAAUCUGGCAGAGGGGGGUAGAAUUCCACGUGUAGCAGUGAAAUGCGUAGAGAUGGUGGAGGAACACCGAUGGCGAAGGCAGCCCCCUGGGUCAAGAUUGACGCUCAUGCACGAAAGCGUGGGGAGCAAACAGG